rnacentral:rRNA from 1 species
GAUGAACGCUGGCGGCGUGCCUAAUACAUGCAAGUCGAGCGAACAGACGAGGAGCUUGCUCCUCUGACGUUAGCGGCGGACGGGUGAGUAACACGUGGAUAACCUACCUAUAAGACUGGGAUAACUUCGGGAAACCGGAGCUAAUACCGGAUAAUAUAUUGAACCGCAUGGUUCAAUAGUGAAAGACGGUUUUGCUGUCACUUAUAGAUGGAUCCGCGCCGCAUUAGCUAGUUGGUAAGGUAACGGCUUACCAAGGCAACGAUGCAUAGCCGACCUGAGAGGGUGAUCGGCCACACUGGAACUGAGACACGGUCCAGACUCCUACGGGAGGCAGCAGUAGGGAAUCUUACGCAAUGGGCGAAAGCCUGACGGAGCAACGCCGCGUGAGUGAUGAAGGUCUUCGGAUCGUAAAACUCUGUUAUUAGGGAAGAACAAAUGUGUAAGUAACUAUGCACGUCUUGACGGUACCUAAUCAGAAAGCCACGGCUAACUACGUG